UCCACGUUUCCAUCAUGCAAAGGCAAACUCCUCCUAGAGAACCAUCUCAGACCUUCAAAAGAAUCCAGGCCAUAAAUCGUCAUUCACCCUUCUCUUCUCACCUUUCCUCUCGUCCCUGGACACAUCAGUCUGUUUACGAGCCCCAAAACACCUAGUUAGAAACCUCCGAUCAAAAAACUUUCUUCACCAAAGUUGUUCGUCUAUGUAUCCUCUAUCUAGCCUCAAAAUUUCAGCUCCAUUGGAGUCGAUUUGAGUCCUGUACACCCCUCGAAGCUGAAGCUGUUCUGAAACGAGCCUGUUCCGGAUUUCUGCUUGAAUUCCCUCUCUUGCUUCACUCGAAUCCCUCACAUCUUACUUGAGACUGAUACAAACACUUGAUUGAGCGAACUUCUUGGCCUGCGGCUGGACUCGAUCCAAUCAGCUCCCUCAGCUCUCUUUCCUGUUGAAAUCCUCAAGAGAAACUCACCUUUUUGAUUAGUCUUUGGCUUGAUAUCUUGGUAGGAUCUUGUGAAGUGGUGGUUGCUACAAGGUUGCAUUGAGGCCAAGUGCUGCAAGAGAAAGCUCGAGUUCCAGGUAGGGGAUGCCUUUAACUCUAUCUAUGCUUUUCUUGCAUAUACUAUGUUUUAUAUGAGGCCUCUUGCAUGUUUUGGAAAUUAUCUGUUUUUACAACUUGAAAUGAUUUGCGUGGUUUGGAUUAUUGUGUUGGCAAUUGAUGGGGAUGUAAGGAGAGGUCAGUUCCUCCUUGAGCCACCGGUGGUGGGCAGUGUGCACCAUGCCCUUGAUAUUUGUUAUCUCCCCUUUGUCUCUAGCCUUGUGAUUAUUGAAUUCCGGAAAGUGAUUGACUAGAUGGACGGUUGUGAUGGAAGUGUGAAAGAUGAUCAAUUGCCGUGGGAUUGUAGUUACGUGGUGACGACCACGUGGAAGCGCAAACCGGUUUUUAUCUAUUACUUUUUCUCAAAACGAUAAAUCAUAUUUUUAAACUUAGAUAUGGGGGCGGGCAUGGGCAAUGACUGGAUGUAGGAGCCUAACCCCUACUUUAGUUUGUUUUGUAGGCUGUUGUUGUCGAAGCUUUUGGGUACGGAGGAUAAUCCUUGGAGGACACAAUUUGUUUUAUUCUAUUUAAAGUUUAUUUCUUUUUGGCUUGCUUGAUUUCACUAAAUUUUUGUAACAUUAUGUAUGGUUGAUGAUGUGUGUGAUUGCUUACCACCAAAGUGGAACCCUAGGGUUAGAACCUCCAUUUGAGUUUAGGUCCUAGUGGGCUAGACCUAGAAGACUCACAUAAAUUACCAUUUAAUGAACUUAAUGCAAACUUGGGCUAAGAACUAAAAAUUGACAUAGGUUCUAAAACUCAACUCAACACCACCUUCCU